AUGUAUAUGAUUUAUUAUACAUAUUCAAAGUUAGUAUCUAAUCUGAGUUCCGUAAGUGCAGAAAAGGAUAGAAGAUUGUGUCCAAACAAUUUCUGAUACACCAGUAGAAAAUUCCAUCCGCGAUGAUGCUAUUACUCGAGUUUUAGGACCUGGACGUCGUGGAAGAGUUAGAGGACUUGGAUUUGGAGUUGCACCAUCGAAAGUAGAUGGACAAAUUCAAAGUAAUGGGAGAGUGAGAAAACUCGAAGAAAAGGUUGGAGCGCUAGAAGAAAAGGUUGAAACACUUCUUCAAUUAUCUCAACAGGUUAUAAACUUUUAUCAUUAUAUAUGCAAUAAUAAUAUAGCUUCGCAUAACUCAAUAUGGACAAUAAAUUUUUAAUUUUUAUAUCAUUUAUAGAAUCAAAACAAGAAUGUAGACGACAUGAGUUCACAUGCUUUUACUCAGGUUUUUGUAUCUAAAAAAUUAUUUUGUAUUCACUAUAAACAUAGAAUAUAGCAUACUAAUUUACUUUACUUUGAUUUUGUAGUCACAACACGGAAGUGGUAUCCAUUGAGGGAUUGCACAUACAAAAAAUGUAAGGUGUCAGCUGUUGCAUUGGUGCAUAUUUGAAGAGGAAGAAAUUGUAGCUGAAGGAAGGAUUGCAUCAAUAAACCCAAGUGCAAAGGUCCAUCACGUACCAAUCGGACGAGAUUGUUGGAAGGUGUGAGUUGAGGAAUAUUAUAUGGGCCAUUUGAACUUAUAUAUACCUACUGAUGAAUUUUGAGUGUUUAGUAAAACCAUAGGAAGUACAAUUGCUUGACCAAAGAGCAGUAUUAGACUUAUUUGACAAGGUAUGUAAUGCAUUUCUGCAUUUUUGUAUUUCUGUGUGAAUUAUCC
rnacentral:lncRNA from 1 species